rnacentral:misc_RNA from 1 species
AAGUUAAAAGUCGUAACAAGGUUUCCGUAGGUGAACCUGCGGAAGGAUCAAUUAAUAAUUUUUUUUGAAAUAAAAAAAAAUAAUAUCAUCCUACCCUUUGUGAAUUUGUUUUGUUGAAUAAUUUUUUAAAAUUAUUUAUUGUCUAUCCAAGUUGGAAAGUUGUAAAAGACUAGAAGACUUGAGCGGCAUAAAUAAAUUUAAAGACUUUUUUCUAAAAUUAAACUUUUUGUAUUCAUUUGUCUAAAAUAAUUUUUAUAAUAUAUAAAACAACUUUUGACAAUGAUCUCUUGUUCUCGCAACGAUGAAGAACGCAGCAAAAUGCGAUAAGUAUGUGAAUUGCAGAAUACGUGAAUCAUCGAAUCUUCGAACGCAUAUUGCACUUUUUUAGUUUACUAAAAAGUAUGUCUGUUUGAGUAUCAGUAAAUAUUCUCAUAAAAUUUUUUAAUUUUAUGGUUAUGAGUGUUUUACAACGAUAAACAAGUUGUUUCACUUAAAUUGAAUUUUUUUGAAGAAAUUCUUUAAUUCAAAUUAAAUUUGGAUAAAAUUUUCCCGUAAAAAGGAAUAACUAUACAGUUUAAUAAGAUUUAGUGAUUUCUUUAUGAAAAGGAAAUUUAUUAAAUAACUUGAUCUCAAAUCAGAUAAGAGUACCCGCUGAACUUAAGCAUAUCAAUAAGCGAGGAAAAGAAACUAACAAGGAUUCCCCUAGUAAACGCGAGUGAAGCGGGAAGAGCUCAAAUUUGAAAUCUUAAAGGGUUCCCUUUACGAAUUGUAGUUUAAAGAAGUGUUUUCUGUUGAGGUUUGGUAAAAGUUCUUUGGAAUAGGACAUCAUAGAGGUGAGAAUCCCGUAUUUGACCUUUACUUUCAACUUUGUGAUACACUUUCAAAGAGUCGGAUUGUUUGGGAAUGCAGUCCAAAAUGGGUGGUAAAUUUCAUCUAAAGCUAAAUAUUGGCGAGAGACCGAUAGCGAACAAGUACCGUGAGGGAAAGAUGAAAAGAACUUUGAAAAGAGAGUUAAACCAGUACGUGAAAUUGUCAAAAGGGAAGCGUUUGACACCAGUGUUUUUUCUGAGAAAUCAAUUAAAGAACUGUUUAUGCUAAGUUGUUUAGGCUUUAUCAGCUAACUGUUUAGUUUUGAGCUUCUUUAAUGCACUUUUCAGUUAACAAGUCAACAUCAAUUUCUUUUGCUGUAAAAAGCUUGAGGAAGUGGCUUGAGAUUCGUUUAAGUGUUUAUAGCCUCUUGCCUAUGCAGUCGGAGAGAUUGAGGUCUGCAGCGUAGAUCCUUCGGGCUAAAUGCAUUUGUGCUAAGUUAUAGCAUUUUAUUGACAACUUGUUGACUAUGAUUUGUCUUGUAGCUUACUCGCUUAUGUUAUUUUACCUACGCUUAGGAUGUUG